AUUGAACGCUGGCGGCAGGCUUAACACAUGCAAGUCGAGCGGAGAUGAGGUGCUUGCACCUUAUCUUAGCGGCGGACGGGUGAGUAAUGCUUAGGAAUCUGCCUAUUAGUGGGGGACAACAUUCCGAAAGGAAUGCUAAUACCGCAUACGCCCUACGGGGGAAAGCAGGGGAUCUUCGGACCUUGCGCUAAUAGAUGAGCCUAAGUCGGAGUAGCUAGUUGGUGGGGUAAAGGCCUACCAAGGCGACGAUCUGUAGCGGAUCUGAGAGGAUGAUCCGCCACACUGGGACUGAGACACGGCCCAGACUCCUACGGGAGGCAGCAGUGGGGAAUAUUGGACAAUGGGCGGAAGCCUGAUCCAGCCAUGCCGCGUGUGUGAAGAAGGCCUUUUGGUUGUAAAGCACUUUAAGCGAGGAGGAGGCUACCUGGAUUAAUACUCUAGGAUAGUGGACGUUACUCGCAGAAUAAGCACCGGCUAACUCUGUGCCAGCAGCCGCCGUAAAAC
rnacentral:rRNA from 1 species